rnacentral:rRNA from 1 species
UACGGGGGGGGCAAGCGUUGUUCGGAAUUACUGGGCGUAAAGGGCUCGUAGGUGGCCAACUAAGUCAGACGUGAAAUCCCUCAGCUAAACUGGGGAACUGCGUCUGAUACUGGAUGGCUUGAGUUCGGGAGAGGCGAGUGGAAUUCCCAGUGUAGCGGUGAAAUGCGUAGAUAUUGGGAGGAACACCAGUGGCGAAGGCGGCUCGCUGGACCGGUUCUGACGCUGAGGCGCGAAAGCGUGGGGAGCAAACAGG